rnacentral:lncRNA from 10 species
GAGAAGCAGUGGAGACAGUAAGAAGUUACUGGAUUUUACUGUUUGCUGAUGAAUGGGAAGUGGAGAAAGAAAGGAGGAGUAUGUAUGUAAAGAGAAUGGUCCAACAAAGAUGGAGAAACUGAUGACAUAGGGUAUGGAGAAGGGAAAAAUGAAGAGGCUGGGUCUUGGAGAAAGCAAGAGGGGAUGAGACCCAGAUGUCAGGCAGAAGAAAUUGUGGGCAGUGAGAACAGAAUAAUGGAGAUAAUGAAGAAUAAUGGAGAAGGCAGAGAAGAUGAAGAUGGAUGCAGGUAGUUACAUAAUUUUGUUGAGAGAAAUAUGAGGCAGUUUUCCUUCAUUGCCUUCUUUUACAGUGCUUUAAAAAGCGACGUCAUUAUCUGAGAAUGUAUAUCUGUGUGUAUAAUGUCGGGGGAUGCUGGAAGGUUUGAAAAGAGAGAGGUUUUGAUA